GCAGCGACGCCGCGUGAGGGAUGACGGCCUUCGGGUUGUAAACCUCUUUCAGCAGGGACGAAGCGAAAGUGACGGUACCUGCAGAAAAAGCACCGGCCAACUACGUGCCAGCAGCCGCGGUAAUACGUACGGUGCGAGCGUUGUCCGGAAUUACUGGGCGUAAAGAGCUCGUAGGCGGUUUGUCGCGUCGUCUGUGAAAACCAGCAGCUCAACUGCUGGCUUGCAGGCGAUACGGGCAGACUUGAGUACUGCAGGGGAGACUGGAAUUCCUGGUGUAGCGGUGAAAUGCGCAGAUAUCAGGAGGAACACCGGUGGCGAAGGCGGGUCUCUGGGCAGUAACUGACGCUGAGGAGCGAAAGCGUGGGUAGCGAACAGGAUUAGAUACCCUGGUAGUCCACGCCGUAAACGGUGGGCGCUAGGUGUGGGUUUCCUUCCACGGGAUCCGUGCCGUAGCUAACCCAUUAAGCGCCCCGCCGGGGGAGUACGGCCGCAAGGCUAAAACUCAAAGGAAUUGACGGGGGCCCGCACAAGCGGCGGAGCACGUGGAUUAAUUCGAUGCAACGCGAAAAACCUUACCUGGGUUUGACAUAUACUGGAAAGCCGUAAAGAUACGGCCCCCCUUGUGGUC
rnacentral:rRNA from 1 species